UACGGAGGGGGCUAGCGUUGUUCGGAAUUACUGGGCGUAAAGCGCGCGCAGGUGGCUUGAAAAGUCAGAGGUGAAAUCCCGGAGCUUAACUUCGGAAUUGCCUUUGAAACUGUUGGGCUAGAGUAUGGUAGAGGAUAGCGGAAUUCCACAUGUAGAGGUGAAAUUCGUAGAUAUGUGGAGGAACACCAGCGGCGAAGGCGGCUAUCUGGGCCAUUACUGACACUGAGGCGCGAAAGCGUGGGGAGCAAACAGG
rnacentral:rRNA from 1 species